rnacentral:rRNA from 1 species
GACGAACGCUGGCGGCGUGCCUAAUACAUGCAAGUGAAGUUCAGUGGCGGACCGGUGAGUAACACGUGGGUAACCUACCCAUCAGAGGGGGAUAAGCCUUGGAAACGGGGUCUAAUACCGACUAAAGGGGGAUGGGCUCGCGGCCUCUCAGCUUGUGGGUGGGGGGAUGGCCUACCAAGGGGGUGACGGGUAGCCGGCCAGAGAGGGGGAUCGACCACAUUGGGACUGGGAUACGGACCAGACGUCUACGGGAGGCAGCAGUGGGGGGUAUUGCACAAUGUGCGAAAGUCUGAGGCAGCGACGCCGCGUGGGGGAUGAAGGCGUUCGGGUUGUAAACCUCUUUCGUUAUCGAACGGGUAGGUGGAGAAGAAGCGCCGGCUAACUACGUGCCAGCAGCCGCGGUAAUAC